rnacentral:rRNA from 1 species
UAUUACCGCGGCUGCUGGCACGAAGUUAGCCGGGGCUUAUUCCUCCGGUACCGUCAUUGUCGUCCCGGAUAAAAGAGCUUUACAACCCUAAGGCCUUCAUCACUCACGCGGCAUGGCUGGAUCAGGCUUGCGCCCAUUGUCCAAUAUUCCCCACUGCUGCCUCCCGUAGGA